GUCUUUUUCUAGACGCAGCUGACGAUGUAAACAAGAGAAAACAUCCGAGGGCAGCGGGGCUCACACAGGCCGGGUUUCACGCAAAUGAUAGCCAUUAAGCACCCAUAGACGGCGGACAUGGGGCUCCCUGUUACGAUUAAAGUCAAUUUUCGGGGGAACGUGAAGAGGUUUCUGGCUCAGGAUAUGGAUAAAUUGGAGUGGGAAGCUGUUGAAGUCUGGAUCAAAGCAUCGUUUGGGAUCAACCACUUUCAAGUGAAAUACUUUGAUGAAGACAAUGAAGAGAUUUGCAUAAACAGUCAAGGUGAGGACAAUAUUU